rnacentral:misc_RNA from 1 species
AACGCACAUUGCGCUCUAUGGUAUUCCGUGGAGCAUGCUUGUUUGAGAACCGUGAUCACCUCUCAAACCCCAUCUCAUCCGCAAGGGUGCAGAGAAGGGUUUGGACUUUGAGCAUUCUGUCUGAAAAGAUAGUUGUCUCCAAAUGCAUCGCCUUUGGUUUCACACAUUUGUGUGAAUGAAACGAGGUCUAUUUUGUCGCCAAGACGUGAUGAGCAUGAUCUCCUUGUGAGGUUUGUGUUAGCGUCGACACAAGGCACAAAUGUAAGUGGCCUCAAAUCUUUCUGUGGCGUUGUGCAUCUCCUUGUGAGGUCACCCUGUUGGUGUGUGGUGUGGAACUUCCAGGCCACCGCUUUAACUUGUAUUCCUGAACAAUGGUCUCAAAUCAAGCAAGAGGACCCGCUGAACUUAA